rnacentral:rRNA from 1 species
GACGAACGCUGGCGGCGUGCUUAACACAUGCAAGUCGAACGGACCUUUUUUGGAAGAAGCCUUCGGGUGGAAAUUAGGAAAGGUUAGUGGCGGACGGGUGAGUAACGCGUAGAUAAUCUACCUUAAAGACUGGGACAACAGUUGGAAACGACUGCUAAUACCGGAUACGCUGCACAUAGGGCAUCCUAGGUGCAGGAAAAGAGGCCUCUUAACAAUGCUCCUGCUUUUAGAUGAGUCUGCGUCUGAUUAGCUAGAUGGUGGGGUAACGGCUUACCAUGGCGACGAUCAGUAGUCGGCCUGAGAGGGUGACCGGCCACAUUGGGACUGAGACACGGCCCAA